rnacentral:rRNA from 1 species
AACGCGAAGAACCUUACCAGGCCUUGACAUGCAUCUCUAAGCGCGUGAAAGCGCGUGAGUCCCGAAAGGGACAAUUUGCACAGGUGCUGCAUGGCUGUCGUCAGCUCGUGUCGUGAGAUGUUGGGUUAAGUCCCGCAACGAGCGCAACCCUCAUCCCUAGUUGCCACCGGGUAAUGCCGAGCACUCUAGUGAAACCGCCCCGGAUAACGGGGAGGAAGGUGGGGAUGACGUCAAGUCCUCAUGGCCUUUAUGUCCAGGGCUACACACGUGCUACAAUGGUCGGUACAAACCGUCGCAAAGCUGCAAAGUGGAGCUAAUCGGAAAAAGCCGGCCUCAGUUCGGAUUGGAGUCUGCAACUCGACUCCAUGAAGCUGGAAUCGCUAGUAAUCGCAGAUCAGAACGCUGCGGUGAAUACGUUCCCGGGCCUUGUACACACCGAUACUC